rnacentral:rRNA from 1 species
UACAGAGGUCUCAAGCGUUGUCCGGAUUUAUUGGGUUUAAAGGGUGCGUAGGCGGCCCUGUAAGUCAGUUGUGAAAUACGGCAGCUUAACUGUCGAGGUGCAAUUGAUACUGCAGGGCUUGAGUACUGAUGAGGUAGGCGGAAUGGACGGUGUAGCGGUGAAAUGCUUAGAGAUCGUCCAGAACACCGAUAGCGAAGGCAGCUUACUAAGGAGUAACUGACGCUGAGGCACGAAAGUGUGGGGAUCAAACAGG